UUAAGCUACAAAGAGCAUAUGGUGGAUGCCUUGGCACUAGGCGCCGAUGAAGGACGUGAUAAGCUGCGAUAAGCUGCGGGGAGUUGCACGUAAACCGUGAUCCGCAGAUUUCCGAAUGUGGGAACACACUAUGAGUAAUGUCAUAGUAUCAUACUUACGAAUAAAAUAGUGGUAUGAGGGGAACCCAGGGAACUGAAACAUCUAAGUACCUGGAGGAAAAGAAAGUAAAACAACGAUUGUGAGAGUAGUGGCGAGCGAAAUUGCAAGAGCCCAAACCAAGAGUGGUAACAUUCUUGGGGUUAGGACCCAAUAAUUGACUCAAAUCGAUAGGAGAACAUGGCUGGAAAGCCGGACAAAACAGGGUAAUAGUCCCGUAUCCGAAAUUGAAAUGAGCAUGUGGGUAUCCAGAGUAGCACAGGACACGAGAAAUCCGGUGUGAAUGUGGGAGGACCAUCUCCUAAGGCUAAAUACGACCUAGUGACCGAUAGCGAAUAGUACCGUGAGGGAACGGUGAAAAGAACCCCGGGAGGGGAGUGAAAGAGAACCUGAAACCGUAUGUUUACAAGCAGAGGAAGAGCUAUUUUAUAUGCUCGACCUCGUACCUUUUGUAGAAUGGGCCGGCGAGUUACGUGGUGCAGCGAGGUUAAGUGAUUAAGUCACGGAGCCGAAGCGAAAGCGAGUCUGAAAAUGGCGAAAGUUGCAUAGCGUAGACCCGAAACCAGAUGAUCUAUCCAUGAGCAGGAUGAAGCAGUGGUAACACACUGUGGAGGUCCGAACACACGCCUGUUUAAAUAGUCGGUGAUGACUUGUGGAUAGCGGAGAAAUUCCAAUCGAAUCUGGAUAUAGCUGGUUCUCCUCGAAAUAGCUUUAGGGCUAGCCUCUGCAUUUAGAUUACUGGGGGUAGAGCACUGAAUGGGCUAGGGGCCUUCACCGGUUACCGAACCUUAUCAAACUUCGAAUACCAGUAUAUUAUGGCAGGGAGUCAGACGGCGGGAGAUAAGUUUCGUCGUCAAAACGGAAACAGCCGAGAUCUACAACUAAGGUCCCAAAGUUAAGGUUAAGUGGUAAAGGAUGUGUUAUUGCUAAAACAACCAGGAUGUUGGCUUAGAAGCAGCCACUCAUUCAAAGAGUGCGUAAUAGCUCACUGGUCGAGUGACAAUGCGCCGAAAAUAACCGGGGCUAAAACCUUACACCGAAGUUUAGGGAUAGAAGUAAUUCUAUCGGUAGAGGAGCAAUGUAUGCGGGCUGAAGCGAUACCGUAAGGAGUCGUGGACUGCAUACAAGAGAGAAUGCCGGCAUGAGUAGCGAGAGUGGGGCGAGAACCCCCACCGUCGAAAGUCUUAGGUUUCCUGGGGAAGGUCCGUCCUCCCAGGGUUAGUCGGGAGCUAAGCUGAGGCCGAAAGGCGUAGGCGAUGCACAACAGGCAGAUAUUCCUGUACCACCGAAUAACGAUAAAGAGCUGAUGCAGUGACACAGUAGGAUAGUGAAAACACGGAGAUGGAAAGCCGUGGCCAAAUCAUGAGGGGUCUAAAUAGUGAAGUACGUUUAGAGCGCACCCUGGGUGAUGAUGGGGAGUGAAAUUUAGUAACGAAGUUCAUGAAUUCACACUGGCGAGAAAAGCUGCUAGGUAGUUAUUAGGUGCCCGUACCGCAAACCGACACAGGUAGACGAUGAGAGAAUCAUAAGACGAACGGGAUAACCCUUGUUAAGGAACUCGGCAAAAUGACCCCGUAACUUCGGGAGAAGGGGUGCCACCGCGAGGUGGUCGCAGUGAAACGGCCCAAGCAACUGUUUACCAAAAACACAGGUCUCUGCAAAAUCGUAAGAUGAUGUAUAGGGGCUGACGCCUGCCCGGUGCUGGAAGGUUAAGAGGAGAGGUUAGCGCAAGCGAAGCUUUGAAUUUAAGCCCCAGUGAACGGCGGCCGUAACUAUAACGGUCCUAAGGUAGCGAAAUUCCUUGUCAGGUAAGUUCUGACCCGCAUGAAUGGCGUAAUGAUUUGGGCACUGUCUCAACAGGGGACCCGGCGAAAUUGAAGUAUACGUGAAGAUGCGUAUUACCCGCGACUAGACGGAGAGACCCCGUAGAGCUUUACUGUAAUUUGGCAUUGGGAUCCGGAAUUGAAUGUACAGGAUAUGUGGGAGGCUUUGAAGCAGUGGCGUCAGCUGCUGUGGAGCCGUCCUUGGGAUACCACACUUUUGAUUUUGGGUUUCUAACGUUGCGCAGUUAUCCUGGCAACGAACAGUGCCUGAUGGACAGUUUGACUGGGGCGGUCGCCUCCAAAAGAGUAACGGAGGCGCACAAAGGUUCUCUCAGGAUGGUUGGAAACCAUCUUCAUAGAGUGUAAAGGCAGAAGAGAGCUUGACUGUGACACCUACAAGUGGAACAGAUACGAAAGUAGGUCUUAGUGAUCCGGCGGUUGAGUAUGGAAUUGCCGUCGCUUAACGGAUAAAAGUUACCUCGGGGAUAACAGGCUGAUCUCCCCCAAGAGUUCACAUCGACGGGGAGGUUUGGCACCUCGAUGUCGGCUCGUCACAUCCUGGGGCUGAAGCAGGUCCCAAGGGUUCGGCUGUUCGCCGAUUAAAGUGGCACGCGAGCUGGGUUCAAAACGUCGUGAGACAGUUUGGUCCCUAUCCAUCGUGGGCGUAGGAUAUUUGAGAGGGUUUGUCCUUAGUACGAGAGGACCGGGAUGAACGCACCUACCGUGCAUCUGUUGUCGCGCCAGCGGCAUGGCAGAGUAGCGGAGUGCGGUUGAGAUAAACGCUGAAAGCAUCUAAGCGUGAAACUCGCCUCAAGAUAAGAUAUCCUUUUUAAGACCCCCGGAAGACAACCGGGUUGAUAGGUCGGGUGUGUAAGCGCUGUGAGGCGUUGAGCUGACCGAUACUAAUAGGUCGAAUGCUUAUUCU
rnacentral:rRNA from 1 species